rnacentral:rRNA from 1 species
ACACGUGAAACCCUGUGGGAAGCAGGAGGGACCACCCUCCAAGGCUAAAUACUACCUAGUGACCGAUAGCGUAUAGUACCGUGAGGGAAAGGUGAAAAGAACCCCGGGAGGGGAGUGAAAUAGAACCUGAAACCCUGCACUUACAAGCUGUGGAAGCACAUUUCUUGUGUGACCGCGUACUUUUUGUAGAACGGGCCAACGAGUUACGUUAAGUAGCAAGGUUAAGCACUUAAGGUGCGGAGCCGUAGCGAAAGCGAGUUUUAACUGAGCGUUCAGUUACUUGACGUAGACCCGAAACCGGGCGACCUACCCAUGAGCAGGAUGAAGCGAAAGUAAAAUUUCGUGGAGGUCCGAACCCACGAGCGUUGAAAAGCUCGGGGAUGACUUGUGGGUAGCGGUGAAAUUCCAAUCGAGCCCGGAGAUAGCUGGUUCUCCCCGAAAUAGCUUUAGGGCUAGCCUCAAGGUGAGAGAUACGGAGGUAGAGCACUGAAUGUCCUAGGGGGUAUUGCACCUACCGAAGACUAUCAAACUCCGAAUGCCGUCAUCUUAUACUUGGGAGUCAGACUGUGGGUGAUAAGAUUCAUAGUCGAAAGGGCAACAGCCCAGAUCGUCAGCUAAGGUCCCUAAAUGUAAGUUAAGUGGUAAAGGAUGUGGGAUUGCACAGACAACCAGGAUGUUGGCUUAGAAGCAGCCACUCAUUCAAAGAGUGCGUAAUAGCUCACUGGUCGAGUGAUCCUGCGCCGAAGAUUUCCGGGGCUAAAACUUACUACCGAAGCUACGGCAUCAGUAAUGAUGGGUAGGGGAGCUUCCCAUACGGGUUGAAGCAUGACCGUAAGGACAUGUGGACAGUAUGGGAGUGAGAAUGUUGGCAUGAGUAGCGAGAUGUGGGUGAGAAUCCCACAGGCCGUAAACCCAAGGUUUCCAGGGGAAGGUUCGUCCGCCCUGGGUUAGUCGGGACCUAAGCUGAGGCCGAAAGGCGUAGGUGAUGGACAACAGGUUGAUAUUCCUGUACUACCGAUAACCGUUUGAGAGAAGGGAUGACACAGUAGGAUAAGCUAAGCACACUGUUGGUUAUGUGUGCCCAAGCAUUGAGGCAGUCAAAGUAGGCAAAUCCGCUUUGAUAAUGCUGGGAUGUGAUGGGGAGCGAAAUUUAGUAGCGAAGUAGCUGAUUUCACACUGUCAAGAAAAGUCUCUAUCGAGGUUAAAGGUACCCGUACCGCAAACCGACACAGGUGGGUGAGGAGAGUAUCCUAAGGCCAGCGAGAGAACUGUUGUUAAGGAACUCGGCAAAAUGACCCCGUAACUUAGGGAUAAGGGGUGCCACCAUCAGGUGGCCGCAGAGAAUAGGCCCAAGCGACUGUUUACCAAAAACAUAGGUUUCUGCUAAGUCGCAAGACGAUGUAUAGGAGCUGACGCCUGCCCGGUGCUGGAAGGUUAAGGGGAUCUGUUAGAGCAAUCGAAGCAGUGAACUUAAGCCCCAG